UGUUGUACACCUCUAGUGACGUCAUGUCACCUCCUGCUGCCGCGUGACGUCACGAGAUACCAGGAAGCUGCCGAUCCGCGCGCCUGCGCUCACUGAGAUCCGAGCUGACACUUCUUCUGACGCUUCAUCAGCAAAAUUGGUCUGAUGGAGCAAAGGCACUCAGCGCAGCCCGGU